rnacentral:rRNA from 1 species
AUGGGAGCGUACCAGCCACUGCAUCACCAGCACAGCCAGAAGCCGUCGUCGACUCACCAUGGCAGAGUCGCCUUGGCCUGGCUUUUCUCCGCCGUGCUCUGCCUGGCUCUCCUCCACCUCCUCUGCUGCUCCUCGCGCGCCGCACGCGAAAAUGUCGUCUUCUCGCCUCUGCUCCAGUACAUCACCAGCACCUACACUAAAGGAAGAGGGUCGACUUCCAGCUGCGACUACUCGGAGGGGCAGUGGGUGCGGGCGGCGGGGCACGCCCGGCGGUACAACGGCACCGAGUGCAACGUCAAGGACAGCGAGAACUGCGUCCGCAACGGGCGCCCCGACACCGACUACCUCGACUGGCGGUGGCAGCCGGCGGCGCCCGGGUGCCAGCUCCCGGGCUUCGACGCCGCGGCGUUCCUCGGCGCCGUCCGCGGCGAGCACGUGGCCUUCGUCGGCGAUUCCAUGGCGCGGAACCAGGCCGAGUCGCUGGUCUGCCUCCUGGGCGCGUCCUUCCCGUACCACCUGGUGUACCGCGACCCGCAGCCCGGGACGCGUAAGUUCUGGCGCUGGGCGUUCCCCACCCACAACGUCACGGUGUCCGUCUACUGGGCGCCCUUCCUGGCGCGGGCCACGGGCAGGUGCGACAACUACAGCCUGCCCUACAACUCGGUGCACCUCGACGCGCUCGCUGACCGCUGGUCCGCCGACGCCGGCACCAUGGACGUGGCCGUGGUCAGCGCCGGCCACUGGUUCUGGAAGCCGACCGUCUACUACAACGGCAGCGACGUGCUCGGCACGCACCUCCUCCCCGAGCUCAACCACACCGGGAUCGGCUUCCUCUCGCCGUACCGGGAGGCCAUCCGGGCGUCCAUACGGCGCCUCGCCUCGGCCGGCCGCGCGCGCGCCGUGGUCGUGGCCACCUUCUCGCCGGCGCACUUCGAGAAGGCGUGGGACGACCCCACCACGUGCGCCAGGAAGCUGCCGUACACGGAGGGGGAGAGGGAGGUGGACGCCACGCACGCCCAGCUUUGA